rnacentral:rRNA from 1 species
GCCAGACUCCUACGGGAGGCAGCAGUGGGGGAUAUUGCACAAUGGGGGGAACCCUGAUGCAGCGACGCCGCGUGGGUGAAGGAGCGUUUCGGCGCGUAAAGCCCUCUCGGCAGGGAAGAAGGAGGACGGUACCUGACUAAGAAGCCCCGGCUAACUACGUGCCAGCAGCCGCGGUAAUACGUAGGGGGCAAGCGUUAUCCGGAUUUACUGGGUGUAAAGGGGGCGCAGACGGCAGCGCAAGCCAGGAGUGAAAGCCCGGGGCCCAGCCCCGGGACUGCUCUUGGAACUGCGCGGCUGGAGUGCAGGAGGGGCAGGCGGAAUUCCUGGUGUAGCGGUGAAAUGCGUAGAUAUCAGGAGGAACACCGGCGGCGAAGGCGGCCUGCUGGACCGUGACUGACGUUGAGGCUCGAGAGCGUGGGGAGCAAACAGGAUUAGAUACCCCCGUAAA